CUCUCAAAGGUGCUUGCUGGAGCUGCAGUCUCCACCAGGCUAUCAGAACAGGGGGUGGCUUAAACAGCAUGGAAUCUCAGCUUUUCGUUCUCCAGAGGAAAAUGCUGAGGAUUAGAGGCAGGGAUAGGACCUGGAGAGAACCAAGAUAAGGAGGGUUCCUGCCCCCAGGUGAACAUUAACUUUCCCCAGCUCGGCCUCUGUCGGGACCAGUGCCAGGUGGACAGCCAGUGUCCUGGCCAGAUGAAAUGCUGCCGCAAUGGCUGUGGGAAGGUGUCCUGUGUCACUCCCAAUUUCUGAGCUCCAGCCACCACCAGGCUGAGCAGUGAGGAGAGAAAGUUUCUGCCUGGCCCUGCAUCUGGUUCCAGCCCACCUGCCCUCCCCUUUUUCGGGACUCUGUAUUCCCUCUUGGGCUGACCACAGCUUCUCCCUUUCCCAACCAAUAAAGUAACCACUUUCAGCA
rnacentral:sRNA from 1 species